AGUGUCAAGGGAUGGAAAUUGAACCCACGACCUUCCGCUUACCGGGCAGAUGCCAUGACCACUAGGCCACAUGACC
rnacentral:tRNA from 1 species